UCUCAUCCGCAUUUUACAUGUCAAAGUAGCGUCUGCUCUGUCUUUACCCUUCGCCCAUCCGAAACCCUAGCACCGUCGCACUGCGGCCGUUCCUCCAUCACGACGACGCCGUUUCCUCUUCGUCUUCUCCUUCAGAAUCACUGAGAGUCGGUCUUUCUUCAUCCGGCUUCAGCUUUCAACUGUGUAAAUAAUUUACGGUUUUGCCCUACCUCCUCUCUCUCCUUUUCUCUUUCAGUUGCGCUGCUUUGCUCCUCAUCUUCCCCAAAUCCUUAAUUUUGAUCCCGAUCGGUUUUUCCUAACCCUAUUUUUGUCUUACAAAUUACUGUUGAAGGCUGUGAAGCAAUGGAAGCAAUUGAAGCGAUUAGCAAGCCGAUCUUUGAGUGUAAGAGGUCUUGAUUGCACCGUGGGUUACGGGGCUUUUCUUUUGAGGAUUGAGGAAGGAUUUGAAAAUUAUCUUCGAUGGUUCAGCUUCUAACAAUGGUUGGAGCUAGAGUUCUGUCUUAAUUUUGCUUUCGAGCUUUUGGAUUCAGACUUGCUGAUAGUUAUUGGUCUAGUAGACAGAAAUGGACCCAAAGAUCGCAAAGGCAUUGGAUAGUGGUCGUAGAGUUAUGCUCGACUUAAAGAGAAAGCGGGCAACUCGGUAUGCUGCAAAUUUUCCUGGAGCUACCCACAGAGCGUUACCACAGAGGCCGAACUUGAAUAAGCUUGGCAAGCGAAGGAAAUUGUAUGGAACCAAAAGCAAGUCCAUGAGCUGUGGACCUCGUUUUAGACGAUCCUUGCUUGCAUCUUAUUCAAAUUUUGCAAGGAGCAGUGUGCCACAGCGUCUGAUGUUUUAUCAGAAUGGUGAAUGGACUGAUUUUCCUCGGGAUCUUGUUGACUUGGUUAGGAAAGAUCUACAGGUGAAGAAGGCAGCUAUGAACAUCAAAUCACAAGGUGAACAUUAUUUGUUAGAUUUUUUGCAUAUGUUCCGUUUGGACUUGAAGACUGGCCUACAGCAACCUAUUGCUUGGAUUGAUGAAACUGGUAGUUGUUUCUUUCCUGAAAUUUAUGCUGAGGAGGAUGAUGAGCCAAGUUGGAACUGCCUGCCUGAAGGUGUGAAAGAUCUGGAACCCUGGGUUGAAGAUCAUUGUGGGUCGCGUGAGAUUAAACUGCACCUGGAAAUUGAAAUAAAUGGAGUGGGUCAAUCUGGGUUGAAUGAAUGUAGUGGGGAGUCAAAUGGUUUUGUAAAGAAAAUUCAGAUUGAUCACAUACCUGCCAAUAAUUGUGCUGGUAUGGAAGUUGAAAAUAGUUGCAACAGGAAACAUGGUCUAAAAGUUGAUGAAGAUGUUGAGGGCAAUGAAGAGAUGAAGAAUAAUUUAACUAGAACAACUGACACUGAAAAUGGAAAGUUGGAUUGUGAUACGGUGCAAAAUAUAUUUCUGAAAGGAGUGAGCACCUUUGAUGGUGUAGAAGUACUGGAUAUAUACCAAUGCUCAAGUAAUCUGAUGCAAGCUCGUUUGGAACUUUUUCAGAAGCAGGUAGAAAUUACUAAAGCAUUUCGUGGCGAUGCAAAUGUACGAUAUGCUUGGCUUGCUUCUUCAAAGGGGGAGCUUUCGACUAUAAUGAUGUAUGGGCUUGGUCAUUGUGGACUAGCGACAAACAAGUCCAUAUAUGGCACUGGUGUUCAUCUCACAGCAGCUAGCUUCUCUAACACCUGUGCAAGUUAUUGUGAUGUUGACGAAAACGGGGCACGACACAUGUUAUUCUGUCGUGUCAUAGUGGGAAAUAUGGAGUUACUUCACCCUGGAAGUAAACAAUUCCAUCCCGGUAGCAAGGACUUUGAUAGUGGAGUGGAUGAUCUUCAGGAUCCAAAACAUUACAUUGUCUGGAAUAUGAACAUGAAUACACACAUAUACCCAGAAUUUGUUGUAAGUUUCAAGGUCUCAUCGAAGAGUGAAGGGCAUCUGGUUGGGACUGAGAAUAAGCUUGGUGUUUCCGGGGUUGCGACAUCUUGCCAUGGACCUCAGGGCUUGAUGCAAUUGGAAUCGUCAGCAGUUGAUACAGGGAGUGAAAAUCAGCCAAAUUCCGAUUCUGGGAAGUCUCAUGGAAGCAAUGGUCAAAUGGUGUCAAAGUCUGGGAGAUAUCAGGGGGAAACCACAGCUACUGGUUCUACUCCUGAAAGAACCCCUAAAUCCCCCUGGAUGCCUUUCCCUAUGUUAUUUGCUGCUAUUGGAAAUGAAGUUCCUCCCAAAGAUAUGGAACAAAUUAAUAUUCAUUAUGACUUAUUCAGGGCAAAAAAGAUAUCUCGUGAUGAAUUUGUGAAAAAAUUGAGGUUGAUUGUGGGAGAUACUUUGUUGAGGUCUACGAUAACGGAGCUUCAAUGCAAGAUACCCUAUAAAAGCCAAGAGUGAACUGGAAGUGCCAAAGACAGGUCCACGCUUUCUCUAGUUGAUGGUAGCAUGCGCCUGUCUCUGAAUCUGGUAUAAUGCCUUCCCAUGAAGUUUCAUAUAUCUGAAAAUAAAGAUUGUUUGAAGCUCGCAUGGUAGUAAUGCGUCGACAUGAAGUAAAUGUUAUCAGGGACCUAGAUAAGAUAUGAUUAAUCUUCAGUAAAAACUGAAUGGACGGUUGGUAUGAAUUGGCGACUUGCUCACCUGGGCUAUCAAGGUAGCGUGCACCUUUAAUUACUGAAAAAAAUUUAUUGUCUGUAAUACAUUUAUUGACCACUUUGCGGAUCAUCUGGGCUCCACUAAAGUACGUGGGAUUUGGAUGUAUUAGAGUAGAUAGCAAUGUGGGACUUGAUAGCAGUAUUUAGCAAUGUGGUAGAAAUAGCAGUAGAUGGCAAUGUGUUAGAAAUAGCAGUAGAUGGCAAUGUGGGAGAAAUAGCAGUAGAUGGCAAUGUGGUAGAAAUAGCAGCAAUAUUAAAGAAUUAGUCUUUACUUUUAAAAUUGUUAAAUUUUUUGAAUAAUCAGUCUUAACUGGGUAUACCCAAUGGCACUCA